rnacentral:rRNA from 1 species
GGUUUAAUUUCGACGCAACGCGAAGAACUUACCCAGACUUGACAUGUAGGGAACCGGGUGGAAACACCGGGGUGCCUGGUUUACCAGGAGCCCUAACACAGGUGCUGCAUGGCUGUCGUCAGCUCGUGUCGUGAGGUGUUGGGUUAAGUCCCGCAACGAGCGCAACCCUUGUCAUUAGUUGCUACAUUCAGUUGGGCACUCUAAUGAGACUGCCGGUGACAAACCGGAGGAAGGUGGGGAUGACGUCAAGUCCUCAUGGCCCUUAUAGGUGGGGCUACACACGUCAUACAAUGGAUGGUACAAAGGGUCGCCAACCCGCGAGGGGGAGCCAAUCCCAUAAAGCCAUUCGUAGUCCGGAUCGCAGUCUGCAACUCGACUGCGUGAAGUCGGAAUCGCUAGUAAUCGUGGAUCAGAAUGUCACGGUGAAUACGUUCCCGGGUCUU